rnacentral:sRNA from 1 species
AAAAAAGUUUGUUCACCCAAAGACUCCCAGGGAAUCCAUGAGCACUUAAAUAAGAAGUGCUGUUACAGCACAAUUAUUAUGCAGAUAACAUUUUAGUUAAACUUUUGGUGAGAAAAAUAACUGGGUAAAGUUGCACAUAGAAUUUAAUAGUGCCAUUGUUCAUAGAAUUUAUCAGUAGAUUUUUUUUGCUUCAAUGAGUAUGGAUGAUCCUUAACAAAUUGUUUACUUGAUGAAGACCCUGAAAACCAAACCUUGAGAAAGGAUUAUGAAAAAACCUUUAAAAAGUACCAGGGGCUUGUGGUAAAACAGGAACAGCUAUUACGAGUUGCUCUUUAUUUGCUUCUGAAUCUUGCUGAGGAUACUCGUACCGAACUGAAAAUGAGGAACAAGAACAUAGUUCACAUGUUGGUGAAAGCCCUUGAUCGGGACAAUUUUGAGCUGCUAAUUCUAGUUG